rnacentral:tRNA from 1 species
GGGUGAUUAGCUCAGCGGUUAGAGCGCGUCGUUCACAUCGACGAGGUCGCUGGUUCGAUUCCAGCAUCACCCA